UCGUGAAAGGAAGAGUCUAUUCAUUGAGAGUCCACGUUUACCUCUGCUCCGAUACUUCGUCUGCUGUUGAUGGGUUUUAGUUAGAGAGUCAGUGGUGCUCGGCCGCGGAGACGUAAUAAACAUAACUUUACAGUAAAAAUAAUUUAUUGUAAGUGCGAGAAAGUGAAAGGGAAGAGGAGUGAGAUAGCGAGAGAGAGAGAGGAAGAGACACGACAAUGCUUUCUUUUUCUGCUCUCUAUUUUAUAAAGCAUAAAUAACUUUGUAGGUUAUAACAUUUUGAAAAGUUCUUGCAGUAUGCAAAUUGUGUUGUGAAGGAUACAGUGAAAGUUGUGUUUUUGUGACACAAAAUAUUUGGAAUGAAAACAAGUGCAAGAUAUUCAGGAAUUACAAGAUGUGAUAUUCUUGGAUUCAAAUCAGAGUAGAUGGAUUGGACUGCAGUGCUCUCUGCAGAUAAUUACACCAGUAGGCUAUUAUGUUAUGAUUCUGAUAAAUCUAUCAAGCAAAUUACUAAGCAGCCGCUCAGGCCAAUGAAGCUCAGUACAUUCACUUCGGGUCAGUGAUUUCACGCUUGAAUGUAGACCAUAAGAAGAAACAGAAAGAUAUUAUGGGCAGCAUUGAUGGGAUAGUCAUUGAUUGCCAUGAUGACAAUUGUACACAUUUGACUGCCACGACUGCAUCUUCUACAAGCAAGAUAAUUUCUGCACUAACAGCUGGAAUACCGAUUGUUGAUAUCAAUCAUUGGACAUCAGUUUUAAAUGCUAUAAAUGCAGAUGAAAAUCUACCAGAUCUUGACUUGUUUACUCUUCCACUGUAAGAUAAAGGUAUUAAUACCAAGACGCUGCUACUACACAGUAUAGCCGAGUUUCAGGUCAAGAUGGAGCACCUGCACUCUAAAUACAUUAACAGCCAGGAGGAAAUACAGCUGCUGUCUUAUCAGUUGGUACAGCUUACCGAAGGAGCAGUCAAGGUUCAGCAAAGCACAAAAACUACAGUUUUUGAUUGUUGACGAAGUUCUUCCAUUCAACAUGACUGUCUAUCAAGCUGUGAGACAGUUCAGCUGUUCAGGCAUUGAUCAUUCAGAGGCUAAUGCCGAUAGUGAACCUCUACUUGGCCAUGAUGCAGUUUGGGUUCAGACUCACACAAUAUAUUAUAAGCCUGUGCCUGAAGAACAGUCAUCUGCAUAGUCGAACCAGGUUCACAAUCCAGCAGUCGUAAAGGCAAGGGAAAAGUGGUUCAAAGAGGAAGGAGGAUAGCCUCUGGCUUGAAGGAACGAUACUUCAGCAACGAUGUCCAUUGAAUUCAUUCUUGACUCCGAGUUUAACACCAGUGGUGACGACAGGAGAUGCCUCCUUAGAUGGCUUAUGCUUAUUACGCCUCCUGUAUGCCCUGAAUCGCGACUGGGGAAUUCUUUUCCCGCAUGUCAAGAGUAUCAAUUUGCUGUAUUCGCAAGAAUUUAUCAACAAUAAAAUUGCGGCCAAAGCUAGUAGGGAACUUCAGGAUCCUCUGGAUACAAACCGGAAAUACAAACCAAACUAGAAAUACAAACUAGAGUACGGUACUUUUGAGCUGUAUUGAACAUGCUAUGACAACUACUUGUGAAAAAAAUGAGUUUUUUUUAUAAAUGCUAAAAGAAUAUUUUUAUAGAAAACAUAUUUUUCUUAUAAUUUGACGAAUCAUAAUUUUAUAAAAUAUUAAAAUACUUUUUUUACAACUGCUAUUUAUUGUUAAAAUAAAAUUUUAUAAGUGCUAAACCAUGCUUUUUACAAAUUCAUGAAUGUAUAUCAUUGUUAAGACAUAAUAAUAAAUCAUUUUUCUUUAAAAAUAA